UACAGACUGACCUAGCAGACAAGCCAAGACGGUAGAACUUAUUUCCCUAGGAGGAAAUUAUG
rnacentral:ncRNA from 1 species